CAGCACUGCAAACACAAAGAAUGAAAAUAAAGCAGUCAGGGAGGAUUUGUCUGUUAACGCUCGGACUUCACGCCAGCGUUUAGCAUGGGAGAGAACCACUUUGCAGCCCUGACGUUCCUCCCACGCGGGACCUUCGGGGUCACGCCGUGUGGGGAGCUCUUUGUGUGUGUGUCUGCUUGGCUUCGUGAAAAGCAUCCCGAGGAUGAAAGACGUUCUUAAAGGAGAAGGUGGAGCAGAUAUUUGGACUGUUCUUUUUAGACCUCCCCGUCCUAAUGAGCAAAUAUCCUGCUAAACAUUUGUCUCUUGAAAGUGAAGGCAAAGGCGGGAGAGAAAAUUGCGACAUCCAUAAAUAAACCAAGCCCGCAGUCAGCCGAGGUCUCGGCUUCCAAAGAAGAACCUCAAAGGACAGACGCCGACCGCUAACCCAGCCUUCAAAGUGUCAAUACGGGAAGACAAGGUGUCCAAUGCUGAGCUUCGCAUGUUGCAGAUGAUGAAAGGAGCUCCCUCCCUUCUCCGCUCCCCUCCCCAACCCUUUUUUUUAAUGACUCCUGCUCACGCUGGGUCAACUUUUCCCGAGGGGCCCCGUGUGAGGAGCAAAAUACUGGAAGAGCCUUUCACAACAGGGUAGCACAAAAUUGCCCCGACAGAAGUCAGAAACAUUUCAGGCUCGUUUCGAAAGCCCAUCAUCGAACGUGAAGAGCACCCAAUUUUGAUUUUUGCUUUCCCACUGCUUCCACUUGUUUGUUUGCAGAAGUUGACUCAGAUGAACUUUUGGGUGCAAGGAGGGAGGGAGGCGGGCCUGGGAAACCGAGUCAGCUGACAGGACACGGCGCUCUGCAGUCGCCGUUUCUACUCCGCCUCAAGUUGCGUUUCCUGUUUUGAUUCAUUCACAGAAUUCAAUCAAUAACUCUAUUGCUAUUGAUUUGCCUUCUCCUCCUGGAUAAUUGGAUCAAUUAUGAUCCAAUACAUAAAUAAUGUUCCUAAUUCAUUGAAUUCAUGUCAUCAUGCUUUAUAGUGUCUUGCAAGUAAAGUGCUUUUUGUGUAAUUCAGGGCAAAAACUGUUUUGUCAGUGAUGCAAUGUUUUUGCCGUUUGUCAAGAAUACGAUUUGAAUUAAGCAACAAAAUUGGGGAAGGCGGGUUGUUGUCGUUAAAGUCUGCGCAGUGAUGCAACAAAGUGAGACGAUAUGUAAGAUGUUUGGACGCCUUUUGGACACUUCCAAAAUGUCCUCUAGGGAUGAAUCACACUUUGUAUUUUGGGAUGCGGCACGGCGCACAUGUGGAAAAUAGCAGCAGAUGUGCUCACACGGCUCUUUUCACAUCUGGCCUUGCCACACUGCCCCUUUUUUUAAAAUUUUUUUAAAUCCUGUCCACGCUGCGUCUGUUUUCAUUUAUCAGUUUGGCCUUUCUGUAGGAUUUUGUAGGAAACUGCAAUGCACUCCCAAAAGAUGCUUUUAAUUGCGUGUCAUGUCAUCAUGUGCUCAGGGUUUUGAGGAAUAAUCAGAAAUCGGUGGAUGUGGAAGCAGAUGAGGUCGUUUCUCUUCUGCACUGAAACCAGCAGCUCUUGAGAAGCAACACACCAUCCCUUGUCUCAAACAAUGGCCGGCCUUGUCAUCCCACCACCUGCCGUCCUCCCCUCGGAAUGUUUGCCAGGUUUCCCUGACCGUGACAACCCCCCGCCCCCUCCCCGUCCCACCCGGAACCAACUGCCUGCUUCUCCCGCUGAGAUCCGAUUCAGGGUCCUGCUACUCCCGUCCGUCUUCAAUUUCAGACAUGACACAAUCCAAAGCGCACGUUGCUUUUCCUGCCCUUGACGUGACCUCACGUCACUUUUGGCUGUUUGCUAACGUUAAGGCUACUUCACCUUCUUGAAUGGCAUCAGGUGUACUUAUAAAUUCAGUCUGAAUUUAUUAAGGUGUGCCUCAGGGGUCCGUACUCAGCCCUAUGCUUUUUCUUACUGACUUACAGUUUAUCAGUAUUUUAGUCACCAGCAGAUGGAAAUAGAAAAACGAUUUAUGGAUAGCCUUUUGGAUUUUCGAAGAAUAUUCGGUGUAAAGCAGGCAAACGAUUUUGAUUAUUAAAAAAAAAAGACCAUAAAUGCUCAUAUUAAAUAAUCCAAUGUCGCUGGGAGGACUGAAUGCCCCAUUAAUGAAAUGACAUGAAAGACAUGAAAAAACAUGAAGUUGCCAUCUUCUAACACUGCUCCAUUGACACGCACAACAAGCGAGUGGGAGCAAACACAGACGGAGCGACACUUGUUUCUUUCAAAGCCUUCUGCUUCCAGUCCAGUUUGACUGCUGGACAUUGUUCUUGACAAAUAGAAGGCGAGAAGGGAAACCAGUUCAUCAAUGGAAAAACAACUCCAUCACCGCAAAAUAAUUUCAGCUGUUAUGUGUACAAUUAGAUUUUUCCCAUCACUCCAAUCGGGAAGUGAAGUCGAAAAAAAAGUGGCUGCGGCCGUGCUCAUCCCAAAUGGACAAAUAAUAACCACCGGAAUGUGAGGAAUGCCUUGAGAACAAUGUCAGCGCUAUCGGAAUUGAUUUUGCUCACAGUGCAAACAACUUUUAGACAAGAUUGACUUUCAGAUGAAAAAGAUUCUCUGUAAAUGUGUGCUAGAGAAAAGUGACGGGUUUGAAAAUGCAGAAACGUCACCAGCCGUCUUCUUUAUCCUCUGCAAAAAACGUCUCAUAUCACUGCUGUACUGAGAAAUCUGGAAAGGAGCUGAGCAUAUAUGUGCAGUGUAUCUCCUUCUGCCCCCUGGUGGCCAACAAUGCAGAGAAACCGUAACCCCAAUGUGGACCGCGCUUAAAAUCAGUUUGACGUGCAUGACGUGAGUUUCGGCAUCUGUCCACUUCAUCAACUUUCCUCGUCCCUUACCUUUGUGCUUGUCCAUUCCCCCUUGUCCCGAGGUGUCCCGCUCCACUCAUACAAGCCGACUGUCCCUAAAGUCUUCAGACAAGAGUGACGGACCCCGGAAAACACCUUACUGACUCGGGUAGCGGCAGCCGGCUCUCCACGUCCUCUCCUACUCUGUGCGUUGUGGUGAGUGGCGCUCGCUUCCUUCUCCCUGCCUGCAGCAUCCACACACACACACACACACACACACACACACACACACACACACACCAAAACCACUCGGAAACUCCCCUUUCGAGUUAAAGUCCAAGUAUGCCUCAUGAGAAAAUAGAGAUGAGCUUGACUUGGUACUUGCACGAUUUUCAAAAGCACAAAUUUGUG